rnacentral:rRNA from 1 species
UACGAAGGGGGCUAGCGUUGCUCGGAAUCACUGGGCGUAAAGCGCACGUAGGCAGACUCUUAAGUCGGACGUGAAAUCCCUCGGCUCAACCGAGGAACUGCGUCCGAUACUGAAAGGCUUGAAUCCGGGAGAGGGAUGUGGAAUUCCAGGUGUAGCGGUGAAAUGCGUAGAUAUCUGGAGGAACACCGGUGGCGAAGGCGGCAUCCUGGACCGGCAUUGACGCUGAGGCGCGAAAGCUAGGGGAGCAAACGGG